rnacentral:misc_RNA from 1 species
AAAAGUACAAUAUGCUUUUUCCUUAUCAACCAGCCCUCUCCCUCUCCCUUAACCCAUUCCUCCAUUAAAGGCUUCCAAGCUUCACACCCCACUUAAUCUCACCAUAAAAUCACUCAAGCUCUUCACUAAAUUUGAUUCUCACACCUUAAAUCACUACUAGGCAGUAAAAAGAAGAAGGAAAAAGGAAGUUUGGGAGACUUGGAAUAGUUAGCAAAA